UACGUAGGGUGCAAGCGUUGUCCGGAAUUAUUGGGCGUAAAGAGCGUGUAGGCGGCUUGAUAAGUCUGCUCUGAAAGCCCGGGGCUCAACCCUGGGAGGCGGGUGGAUACUGUCGAGCUCGAGUCCGGAAGAGGCGAGUGGAAUUCCUGGUGUAGCGGUGAAAUGCGCAGAUAUCGGGAGGAACACCAGUGGCGAAGGCGGCUACCUGGACCACAACUGACGCUGAGGCGCGAAAGCUAGGGGAGCAAACAGG
rnacentral:rRNA from 1 species